rnacentral:snRNA from 1 species
UGAUGUGAAGGCCAUCCCACUGAGACCUCUGUCACCCAGUUGAGAGCCUGAAUUGAUUGAGUUGAUCUGGCUGACUAGGCUGACAUUCCCUUUCCUCCUUCAUUGCUCCCUGUGUGUUCCUCUGAGGCUCCAUGAUCNGUGAAAGAGGAUGACUCUUUGGGGUUUUUUUUGGUAUGUGUGUGUGGUGUAUGUGUG